UGGUGAGAGACAAGCAGUCCAUUGACCCAGCAUCUUCUCACCUGAGUCCCAGAUGUAGAGCUACCUAGCUGAUGGUCACUACUGCCACAAGCCUCGAGGUGGAUAAAGAUGCCACCUGAGAACAGAACUGUAAGACUGAGUCCAACCCAACAGUGAACCCAAAAUAUCCUGGAGCUGAAUGGAUGCUUCUUGUUUCAAGAUAGUACAUUUUGGGGUGUUGGGGUGUUGUGCUAUUCACCAAAACUAUCAGAAAUAGCUUCUCAAAUUGUUGUGAAUGAAAAUUUGAAUAUCCAAAUAACCCUUCUUCAUGACCGAGUUACUGCUGUUAAUUCGCAACUUUCUGAAUAUUUGUAAUGUUAACGGUUUUAAAUGUCGCAGAGAAUCUUUGGCUUCAACAAAAGCUUCAAUGAAUGAAUUUAACUGAUGCUCAAAGUCUUGCUGGUCCCCUUCGGAUCGUGUCAUUUCGUUAGGAUAGCAAACCUGGGCCGUUGAUUUAUCCGGGAGAGAUUCUUCAUCCCAAGUAAUGUCCUGCAAGAAAAAUGAAAUAGUGAAAUCAAAGGAGGCUGUGUUUCGCUUCAUCUCCAAUCUCCACAUCAUUCACCACUAUUGAUUUAACAUCGUGGCACCUCCAUAUUUCAGCAGGAAGAUCUGCCACAAGACAGAAACUGUGAUGACCCUGCAAGGGUCAUCUUGCUGUCAACUUCAAAUUACAACAUCUCUACUCCUGGCUGAGAGCCACGGCAGUCCCUGGGGAGCACAGCUCUCUUUCUGUACAUGGAAUAGCAUGUAGUUUGGAGAUGAGGAAAUGAUUCUGGAGAUACUUGGAUAGCUACAAAUUAUCCUUCAUCUAGAACUGGACACAAAACCAGAGAGGGCACUACCAGUGUGUGAGGACAAUGGAUGGAUAUGUGUGCUCCCUAAGAAGAUGAAAGUGGAAGGAAAAUGUAUCAGCUUCGGAAAAUGUAUCAACUGCAGAAACUGUAUGAGCUGCAGAAACUGUAUCAGCUAUAGAAAGCAACAGGCUUUUCUUUUACUUGGAAGGAACAAGAUAUAGAGCUCUCAGCUCCUCCAGCUGUGCCUGCCUG